CCUACGGGUGGCAGCAGUGAGGAAUAUUGGUCAAUGGACGAGAGUCUGAACCAGCCAAGUAGCGUGAAGGAUGACUGCCCUAUGGGUUGUAAACUUCUUUUGUAAAAGAAUAAAACGAGGCACGUGUGCCUGUUUGCAUGUACUUUAUGAAUAAGGAUCGGCUAACUCCGUGCCAGCAGCCGCGGUAAUACGGAGGAUCCGAGCGUUAUCCGGAUUUAUUGGGUUUAAAGGGAGCGUAGGUGGGUUGUUAAGUCAGUUGUGAAAGUUUGCGGCUCAACCGUAAAAUUGCAAUUGAUACUGGCAGUCUUGAGUAUAGUUGAGGUAGGCGGAAUUCGUGGUGUAGCGGUGAAAUGCUUAGAUAUCACGAAGAACCCCGAUUGCGAAGGCAGCUUACUAAACUGUGACUGACAUUGAUGCUCGAAAGUGUGGGUAUCAAACAGGAUUAGAUACCCUAGUAGUC
rnacentral:rRNA from 1 species